CAGCAGCCGCGGGAAUACGAAGGGUGCAAGCGUUACUCGGAAUUACUGGGCGUAAAGCGUGCGUAGGUGGUGGUUUAAGUCCGUUGUGAAAGCCCUGGGCUCAACCUGGGAAUUGCAGUGGAUACUGGGUCACUAGAGUGUGGUAGAGGAUAGUGGAAUUUCCGGUGUAGCAGUGAAAUGCGUAGAGAUCGGAAGGAACAUCUGUGGCGAAGGCGACUAUCUGGGCCAACACUGACACUGAGGCACGAAAGCGUGGGGAGCAAACAGGAUUAGAUACCCCGGUAGUCCCUGUCCUUAUACA
rnacentral:rRNA from 1 species